GGCUGCAUAGUCACAGACUGGUCAGAGUGCCCAUGGUGACUCUUGUUCACUACUGAAAGCGCCUUCAAAGGGGACAUGAGUGUCAAAACUGGACUAUUAACCAUUUUUCGGUCUGAUGAAUCAUGUUUUCUUUUAGAUCAGGUUGUUCGCUGGGUGUGUGUGUAAUUAACCUGGGGAAGAGCUGGCAGCAGGAUGCACUAUUGGAAG